rnacentral:lncRNA from 1 species
GACACUGCAGGAGCGCGCCAAAGGACCAGGACAGGACAUGCAAGAGAGCUCAGUGGCUGGAAUAUCACACUUGGAUUCCACACACGGUUUGGGGGUUACUUUGCUCCUGAACCACAACCACAGCUGGAAGUGUUUAAACCAAGUGAGGAAGAGAACAAAGGAUCUGGAAAGGAAUAGAAGCUUCCUCAGGCAGGGGCUCUGGGUCGGCAGCUCUGACUGGUCCCUGUGGAGACCAAGCGCCGCCUCCCACCACCUGCCUGGGCGAGCUUCCCAAAUCUCCUCCUCUGUGAAGCAUGGCUAACAUGGCCUGCUGGGCCUCCCCCCAUGGGCUGCGAUCAAGGUCAAACAGGGAGACGUGAAAGCACUUUGUAAAACGUCAGCCCUAUGCUUGGGCUAGGCAGCUGCUGCCCUCUCCCAGGAGGCCCUCCCCUCGCCAGAGGACAAGCAUUAGUGGGGUGGCAUUAACCCCCAAGGCUCAGCCCCCAGGCCCAGUGGGAAGUUGUGCUCCCCCAGACAAGGUCUUCACUCUCUUCCCUGCUCAAAUCAGGUGUUCCAUUCAUGUGACACCCAUACAAGCAUGUUUGGAAGGUAGAAUCACAAAGCAAGCUUUUGUAGUGCUAUGAUGAAAAUAGGUCAACACUGCUUUAAGAUUCAAACCUGGCCUCAACCCUUCGUCUGACUUUUUUUUUUUUUUAAGUCAAAAAAAAAUUUUGUCAAAGACAACGACAAUUCUUCUGGCAUCAGGAUGCUAAGUGGGCCAGUUGCAUCUGCUAAAAGCAAAUCUAUGCUACACACUGUUGAUGAAUGCCCCAGCCUGACUCCCCAAGUGCAAAUCUAGCUCAGAAAGCAAGGCCUCCCCAGGCAGGCAGGAAGCCAUGCUCACCAGGGCCGUCAGCUCUGGUUCGCCUUCCUAUUUCUAUUCAUUAAACUUAAUUUAUGAAGCAAGCAUUUCAGCAGGAGUCUAGGUGUGAUUAGACAAUGGCACGUGAAGACGGCAGCUCUGACCCACAUUAAAAACAAAUUAGGCAGCUUAAAUUGACACAUCCCUUUCUUUAAAAAGCAGGAAAAAUGCAGCAGUAGCAGAGAAAGGAGACAUGAAUUAAGCUUUCUCAUUCUUCAAGAAAGCCUCAAGUGCAGAUAGACUUUGGGGAUCUUUGCUAUUGAGACAUAAUAUUUUCUCUCCAAGCCCCUCCCAAUGCUCUGGAUUUAUAAAGCAGAACUAAGAGCCUACAUAGAGACAUCUAUGCAACGUGGCAAGCAGGAAGGCAGAUGCGCUCGGUGGACACACAUUCUUUUAAGCCUCUCAUUAAGCAAGAGACACCAGGACUACAGUUCCAGCAAUCCACGGAUCAACACAUCUUUCAGGCUCCCACAAAUACCACAGAAGAGCUCAUCCUUGACCUUCAAGGAGCUUACAGUUAAGCGAGGGAAUAAAACCCCCAAAGCAAUUUGGGCAAUGGAAAAGCAAAUCAAAGAUGAGCUCCCUGGGUGCUGGGACUGAGUCUUUUUUCCUUAUUCCUGUCUUAAGGCCUGUAAAUGUUAGAUGGUUAAAGGAUGGAUGGAUGGAUAGAUGAUGGAAGGGGUUAUAAAUGAAGUAAGAUGUUAAAGAUGGAAACAAGUGGUAGAGAUUCUGCAGGUUUGGGAGAAGAGAAAGAAAAUGUGGGCAGCUCUGAAGGAGCAUCAAUUCAGCCACCUCCCCAGUGAUGCCCACCACCAGCAUCCAUCACAAAAUACUUUAGGACACUUGGGUGCUACAGCCUUCUAGAAGGCUCCCUCAAGGUAGGAUCUGUGUGUACCUGUUCACUGUCUCCCUCUUGGCAUAUGUUAGAUGAUCAAUGGACUACUGAAUGAAUGAGCAAGAGACAGGAAAGGGUUCAUGGGACUGAUGACAUGGGAAUCCAGACCUACCUGGAUUAGGACUUGCCUGACUUGGCCGGUCACCCUAACACUACACACCACCAUUGCUGUCUCUCUCAGAGAGGCCAAAUCCCUAUAUAGCAAAAACCAGAUGCUCUCCUUGCGCCUUUCCAAAAAUGAAAACAAUGACUUUGAACAACUGUGAAGGGGCCCACUCCUCUCCCUUGAUUUCGCCCACAGUGACGUAACACAGUCCACAUCGGGUGGGGACACAAACAAUGCUGCCAACCCAGCUCUGAGCCACUCCCUGAUGGGCCAGAACCCACAUGCCUAUUUCACAGAAUGCCAAGGCAGCUGCCAGGGCCCUUUCCUCAACUGGGCACCUCACACCCACCUGGCAGAGCUCUCAACUGUCAACAGUGUAGACUCACCAAGCAGAAAGCCUGGAGAAGCAUCCCAACUGUGGGUUCUGCAGCCACAGGAGACCUCACACAGUCUGACCUGGGAAUGGGCUGCUGCUGGCACAAAUGGUCCUCAAGUCAAGGAGGUUACCAAGCAUGCCCCAUGCCCCCUAACAGGUGGAGAGGCAGACUAGCGUCCAGCCCUCUACCUGGUGGUCAUGGAACCUAAGCAGCCUCUUGACAGCAGAGAACUCAGACUGCAUUUCGCAGGUGCCAAGCAGACAGGCCCUGCCCUCAGCUGGCCCCUGUGCUAAGUAGGGAGAGACCAGGCACUGGAGAUGUCUGUUCCUCAUAAGGCCAGCCUCAGGGUCCUAGAGGCAGCCAAACAGUCUCAAAAGCCCACUCCAGCGCAGGUCAGUGUACAUGGGGACUGGGAUCCAGGGCAAAGCUGUCUUUUGGUUUUGUUUUGUUUUGUUUUGUUUUUUAGGGUCACACCCAUGGCAUAUGGAAGUUCCCAGACUGGAGGUUGAAUCAGAACUGCAGCUGCCGACCUAUAUCACAGCCACAGCAAUGCCAGAUCUGAGCCACAUCUGUGACCUACACCACAGCUCAUAGUGACGCCACUGAGCAGGGCCAGGGAUUGGACCCACGUCAUCAUGGAUCCUAGUAGGGUUUGUUACCUCUGAGUCACAACAGGAACUCCACAGGACAAAGCUGUUUCAUUCCCAGAACAAACAUCACAAGUGGGACAUGCUGGAGGCCAGGGAGUGGGGCUGGGGGAGGACAGAGGAAAGAAGGACAAGCUACAGUCCUGCUCAUCAGAGGCCAGUCUAAGGUCAGGGAACAUGCCCGAGAAGAGGGAAAGCUUUCAAAGGGAAUAAAAACUUGCCCCCAUAAAUUUCACAUGAUUGGAGAGGUUUUUUUAAUGAGUUGUUAAAAUUAACCCACAUGACAAUCUUCUUUCUUCUGAACUGUAAGGUACAGCCCCUUUGAAGGGUGGCAGAGACCUCUGAAAAGUGCAGAGGAGAAAAGUGCACACAGAUGUUAAAGCAUGCUGGCAACUGUAGGUACUUGCCAGAUUACCUGAAAUCCACCAGAAAGCACCUAGGGGUCCAAAGGCCCCUGGCCAAGAGCCCGGCCUCAAAGGCAAGCUAGCUGCACCAACGGCACUAGAGCAGGAGCUACAUGGAGGUUGAGGGAGGUGACCCCAAGUCCCAGCCUGUCAAGGGGAGGACUCAACCUACUUCUACAGAGUCCCUAACCCCAAGAUUCCGGAAGUUCCCUCUGGGCUGCCCACCAGCUAGGCGUUCAUGCCCAUCCCUUCCCAUGUCAUCCUCUUUCUUCAUCCAGAAUUCCUUUUUCUGCAAUCUCCAAGUGUCCAAACCCUAACCAUCCCUUCCAAGUCAAGCUCCAAUGUCCCUCCUUUCAAAGCCUCACCCACCCGUCUUUCUCUACUCCUGCCACUGAGUAUUCAAAGCACUUCCUCUGCCCCUCUCUUGGGUCCCUGGCCAUUGUCUAAUUUUCCCGUAUACAGGUCACCUCUCUUCAGACUCAGAUCCUUAAAGGCAGAGGGUUCAAAGAUGCAGAAUUUCCCACGGUAUAGCCUCACUGGGGACCUGACAAGUGAAAUGUUUGCUGAGGGAUGGGAAAGUGCUGAACAAGACAGCUGUGGAAAGGAAGAGGGUGGGUUUAUACACUUGUGGGAGAGAGAGGCAAGGACCACCCACAGAAAUCAGGACUCCUUUCCAGUGCGUUUUAAAGGCAGGGAAAGAGGAGUUCCUGUCGUGGCACAGCGGAAAUGAAUCUGGCUAGUAUCCAUGAGGACGCAGUAUCGAUCCCUGGCCUCACUCAGUGGGUUAAGGAUCCACUGUUGCCAUGAGCUGUGGUGUAGGUCACAGAUGUGGCUCGGAUCCCGCGUUGCCAUGGCUGUGGUGUAGGGCAGCAGCUACAGCUCUGAUUCAACCCCUAGCCUGGGAACCUCCAUAUGCCACAGGUGCCACCCUAAAAAGACAAAAUAAUAAUAAUAAUAAAGUCAGGGAAAGAAAAAUGUUAGGACAUCUGAAUGGAAAACACAGGGGAAUACAUUCCCGCCAAGAUGAGAACAUUACAUCAAGCGCAGAGUUUGUGCCUGCACUACAAAUGAUGAGAGCCAGGAGGGAGGCCUCUGAUUGGCAGACCGUACAGACAGCAGCAUCAUGUUGAGUAAACAGUCCGAAGGCACUAGCCUGAGACAGAGCAUUAUCCACAAACCUAGAGAUAAGGGCAAACUUAACCCAAGCAUCAGUUUGUCUGCUAAAAGAGCCAACCCCGCGGGCCUCCUGGCAUCUGCACUUUAACUCAUUAGCAGGGAGCAUAGUGGGCAAGGUGCCUCCAGGUGAGAUUCUGAGUUUCAGUUCUGCAGCCAUCCAGCCCUGGGGCCGGGGCCUGUUUUCCUCCCUAGGCCUUCAUUUCCCUGUAUUUAAAAUGAAAAUGUUCAAUUUCAACUCAGAAAUUUCCAGCCCUGAGGUGCCAGAGAUCUUUUAAGUAUUUAGUCAAUAUCUGCUCUGUCUCACACCAGAUGAGGCCCUGAGGGAAGUUGCAGAAGAAAUGUAAAGAUGAGUCUCUUUCUUCUUUUGGAAUUGGCCAUUGCUAUGACCUGAAUGCUUGUGUCCUCCAAAUAUCCUUUUGUUGAAGCCCCAAUCCCCAGUGUGAUGGUGUUUAGAGGCAGGACCUUUGGGAGGUAAAUCAGGUCAUGAGGGUGGGGCCCUCAUGAAAGGGCUUAGUGCCCUUACAAGAGACAGAGAGGUGCUCUCUCCACCAUAUGAGGAUGCAGAAAGAAGGCAGCCAUCUGCAAACAAGGAAGAGGGCUCUCACCAGACACCAAAUCAGCUGGCACCUUGACUGUGGACUUCCCAGCCUCCAGAACUGUAAGAAAUAAACAUUCUUUAAACCACCCAGGCUAUAGUGUUUAUUACAGCAGCCCAAGCUAAGACAGCAAUUUACUUCAGAAAAUUACACAAAAACAUUACUGUUGGAUGACUAAAACCACAUCAUACACAUGCAUGUAUGUGUGUGUGUGUGUGUGUGUGCACACGUGCAUCCAUGAAAGAGAGACAUAUGAUGCAUGUAUACACCUGCCCAGGAAAGGUUGUUUUGUUUUGCUUUGGCUUCAUCCUCAGCACAUGUAAGUUCCUGGGCCAGGGAUCGAACCUGUACCACAAUGGCAACCUAAGCUGCUGCAGUGACAAUGCCAGAUCCUUAACCCACUGCAUCACAAGGGAACUCCAAGAAAGGUUUUAAAUUAUUCCAUAAGGUUAACAGUGGUUAUCUCUGGGCUACCCCAUAUAGGUAAUUUUUGUCUUCCUAUUUACACUUUUCUAUGAUAGCCAAAUUUUCUACAAUGAUAGUGUAUCUGAUUUAUCUAUCUAGUUAUCUAGAAAAAAUAAAGCCAUCAGUUCUCAGGGCAGACUGGGAAGGAGGUACAUAUGUAAUCACCACAUAUCUAAUAUAAUUGGAGAGAGUUCCCUUCAUUGCUCAAUGGUUAACGAAUCCAACUAGGAACCAUGAGGUUGCGGGUUCCAUCCCUGGCCUUGCUGCUCUGUGGGUUAAGGAUCCGGCAUUGCCAUGAGCUGUGGUGUAGGCUGCAGACAUGGCUCAGAUCCUGCAUUGCUGUGGCUGUAGGUCGGUGGCUACAGCUCUGAUUAGACCCCUAGCC